GGCUUUCAGCUGUUUCCUCAAGACUCCUGGUAACCUCUUGAAAAAGCCGUAUUUAUUGUAUGUGUGUUUUAACAUUAUAAAUGUAAUCUGCAUUUGAUGCACAAAACCCAGAAGAGUAAAAAGAAGCGAAAACUCGUGACAGUCCCACUACCAAGGACACGCUCAUUGGCAAAACCCAACCAGAAGCCAGAGCAGAGAGCCUGGGCACUGUGUCCUAUAGAGGUUACAGAUCCAAGUUCACAGGCCAAGGUCGAGAGACGUGGAGAAUGGGUCUCAUGGCAAGCAGAAGCAGAGAGAAUUAGCCAGGAUAAAGACGAGAAGAAAAUUAAAAAUCCUUCGGAAGUCCACCCUCCAGAGCUCUCUGACGCAGUGGAGACAUGGAGAACGUAGAAAGAACGGUGCCCUGGCAUGCCUGCCUAGGGGCUGUGCCAUCUGCAGGCUGUGACUGUCAUGUCAUAUCUGUGAAGACUCCCGUCCUGGGCUGCUGUGGAGCCUCAUUCUUCUCCACCCCCAUUUCCCAGGACAUGAAGAGAGGGGUGCCCAUGGACGCAGCACUCUGGAUGGUGUCCUGAUAUUUUGGACAGACAAUUGCUUGUUCAUGUUCACUGAGGAAGAGGAAGUCGAGUAUUGUGUAAUUAAACGGAAUCAGGAGAAUUUACGCUGAUAUUUGGUAAGCCAUUUCCUCUUCUUACUACAAGUGUCUGAUACAUGCUUUUCCCGAUAAGUAGCAGAACUGCUGUUCUCAUCAGAAAUUUCGGAGCUGAAAUAGAAAUCUCUGAGGGGCUGUUUGACUUUGAGGUGGCGUUUUUGUAAGGAUUUUUUG